GGCCUAAUCGUCCAAAAUCAGAGCCCAACUUCAGCCACAAGAGCAUUAGUGAACGGAAGCAAGUCCCCGCAGCAAUGUUCAAACAUCUAGUUGGAAAGCCUUGCCAGAAGAGUGGAAGCUGUUAUAGCAACAAAUUGGGGACCAACUCCAUAUUAAUGCCCAUGAUUUUGGAAUGAGAUGUUUGACGAGCAGAUGUCCACAUACUUCUGGUCAUGUAGUGUAUGUUGAUUGUAAAGACAUUCUGUUUUGAGUUCAACAAGGAUCGUUGAGAAAUAACAAUUAGACCUUUCAAAAGCUGAGAACCUCUCCUCUUUGAUAGGGACAACUCGUUGCUUCCAAAGAUGUUGUUUUUCUGCAAUUGCAUAUUCAAAUGUUAUACAAUCACAAGGGGGGAGAGUGAGUGUGAAAGGCUCACUCAUUACAGCCUCUGGUCUCAGCAAGGCAAGCACAGUUGAAGGACAUAAACUUCUAUAAAAGGCAUCAUGAGGAUAAUGCACUUUACUGUUUUACAAAUUCAUGGUGUUUUAUCCUCCCAAUAAAUAGGAUGUUUUGAUUGAGGGGGCCAGGUAGAAUGAGUAGCUCGCACCAGUGCAACCAAUAUUUUUUAAAACUCGCACAGCCAAGUCAAGGGGUUGCAAAAUGCGACUAAAGGGUUGCAGUCUGGAGCUAUUCAUCGAACACCUUGCGAGAGUUCAUUUGACGCGUUUAGUCAAAUGCAAACAACAACAAAAUGUACCCUGUUUAUGUAAAUUAUCAAUGCCCUUCCAGACGUGCUUACAGAACAGCUAGUUGAUAUCCAACCAGCAACUGAUGCGGAGGUUGUGUCAAGUGCUCCCACACAGACAAGGUAAGAGUUUGCUUGUAAUGAGUGCCAUUCCCUUUGUCUUCAUCAAACUGAACUAUGAAUACUCAAAAUACUCCGUUCCAUUUUAGGAUGAUGCCGUGCUUGAGGAAGACACCUCAUGUCUUGGAGUGGCUGUACGUCUCAUUGAAGACUGUGUGGUUAUGUCAUCACAGCUGAUUGGAUUGGUGUCAGCCAAAUCCACACAGGGGCAAAUGCAGUCAUGUUGUUUGUUGAUUUAAAUUAUCGUUGUAAAUACCCUUUUGCAGUUGUGUCGACAGACCAUGGUCUGAGAUGAAGAACGCUACCUAAUGCAGAUGUUGUAUCAAGUGCGCCCCCCACAGGACAAUGCAAGGACAUUUGAAGUAGUAACCUAGAGAGGGAGUUGUUGAAUAAAGAUAUGCUCAUUGGUUGGAACACGUGAUAUUCUGUUCAUUUAUAGGAUGAUCUACCCGGGGAAUCAACAUCUAGUCCUAAUAAAGACUGUUCAGUGUCCAGAGAGCAGGGAGCAGAGACUCAAGAGGUAACCAAUGUAGAGGUUGCAUCCAGUGCUUCCACACAGGACAAGGAGGAUCUACUCUGUACUAGAGAAGAUUGAUUUGUCAUGAUCACAUACCGAAACAGACUUCCAACACAGCCAUCUGCAGACGUGAUCAGACGACUCCUCGAUUGUGGGGCGCAUUCAACUGUAUUGUACAUUUAUUUGUCGACGUGAAUUGUCAGGGCUAAUAUCUUUGUGUUGUAGAGUGCGCGGGAACAGUUUGCUGAGAUUGAAGAGAAAAGCCGGUAUGAAGAUUGUGUCCUGUGCUCCUACACAGGACACGGUAACAGAGCUGUAGAGUUAGAGCUAGAGUGGUGCAUCUUCACGUUGUCUGCAUCGUGCAAGCUUCGAACGACACCAAUGGUAAUCUAAUCCAUGGGAGCCUGAUGUGCUGCUUGAGGAAGAGACGCCGUCUCCUGGUGAACACACGGCACCACGUACUGUAUGUUGUGGCUUUAAAUGGGUUACAGAGUUGAUGUUUAAGUUAAUUCAUUGAGCUGUAUCUGAAGAUAUUUUCCUGACAGUUAUUUACAUAUGUAAUUGUAUUAGAAUUUGUGCGUUGGAGAUUGGAGUGGUUGAUGACUGGAAAGUGGCUGAGAUCGUCAGUUUCCUACAGGAGGAGGUUCAGAGCAGCGCGACAAAUGACAAGAUCGUGCAACCAACAGAACGAGAGCAAAGCAUGGAACAAGUCAUGCUCCUCCGAUGAAAUGAAAACAAAAAGACCCAACAUGCCAUCUGCUGCAGCACUGCAUACAGCCAGCCAGAAGGAACAUAACUGUCUAUUCUGUGACAGUGCAGACCACAAAUCAGAAAACUGCCCUGACCACAAUAUUGCUACACGCAAAGAGAAACUAAAGAACAUGGGAAGAUGCUUUGUAUGUUUAGGACAGAAACACAUAGCAAAAUUCUGUAAAGUCAAAGAUGUGUCAUGUGCAACAUGUGGAAGCAGACAUCACAUUGCUGUGUGUACCGGAAAGAGGUGUGAGGUGCAACCCUCUACUGUUUCUGCAGAUGCUGUUGUUUCCUCAGUUAUUCCCCGUUCGGUGAAGAUGAAACCAGAUGGACAGAACAGUGUGUUGCUACAAACGGCAAAGGCAUGGGUAGAAGGCCCAUCGGGCAGGAAGAUAGCUCGUUGCUUACUAGAUGGAGGCAGUCAAGAGAAACUUCAUACAUGAAAACCUUGUGAAGGGCUUGAAGCUACCAGUAAUCAGACAAGAGGCACUCACUCUUCACACGUUUGGCUCCUCUGCUCCAGCAACGUCCCAACGCAACACAGUGAAAGUCAUCUUGGAGAAAGUCUGGGACAAACAGCAGAGAAUAGAGAUAGAGACAAUUGAAACCCCACAAGUGUGCACAGCUGUGAUGAGGGUUCCUGGUGAACAGAUUCAAUAUGAGCUCAAUAGAAAUGGACUGCAGCUCGCAGACUUUCCAGGAGAUGACAAUGAUCCUGAACUCUCUGUCCUGAUAGGAGCAGACUACUACUGGCAGAUAGUAUCAGGCAGAGUGGAGCGACUGACGGAGACGCUGGUUGCUUUAGAGAGCACCUUUGAAUGGUCGGUGCAGAGACCCAUGUCCAUGUCAUAUUUUGUUGUUUUGGCUCUACUCCAGCAUGUUGGAUUUUAAAUGAUACAAUGACAAUGGUUAAAGUGCAGAUUUCAGCUUUAAUUUGAGGGUAUCUUCAUCCAUAUCGGGUGAACCAUUUAGAAAUUAGAGCACUUUAUGUACAUAGUCACCUCAUUUUAGGGGACCAAAAAUAUUGGGACAAAUUCACCUAUUGAAUGUAUUGAAGUAGUCAAAUGUUUUGUAUUUGGUCCCAUAUUCCUAGCAUGCAAUGAUUACAUCAAGCUUGUGAAUCUACAAAGUUGUUGGAUGCAUUUGCUGUUAGUUGGGGUUGUGUUUCAGACUAUUUUGUGCCCAAUAGAAAUGAAUGGUAAAUAAUAUAUUGUGUCAUAUUGGAGUCACUUUUUUGUAAAUAAGAAUAUGAUAUGUCUUUAAACAUUUCCACAUGAAUGUGGAUGCUGCCAUGAUUGCGGAUACACCUGAAUGCAUCGUGAAUACUGAUGAGUGAGAAAGAGGCAUAAAUAUCACCCCCAUGUUUUGUAUUUGGUCCCAUAUUCCUAGCAUGCAAUGGACGUCAACCCCAAUACAUCUUCAUAUCAUCGUCAUCAACAGCAUUACAGUUAAAUACUAACUUUUUUAUAAACCCGAAAAAGGUACAGCUUCUAAAUGUUACGCAACGAAAACAGCCAGAUAUAUCCAAAUCAGAUUUUAGUAGGCACAUUGUGGGCCUCUUACAAUACAUCAAUCAAAUAUCGACUUUGUUAGAUCAGAUUUGUUGAAUGUGUGCGUCCUUCUAUCCCCCACAGUCGGCAUUCCAUUGACCUCUUUACUGCCUCUCCCCAUUACCUCCCCGAUCGCUUUCCAGGAGUUCAAACACAUGUUCAUGUCUUUGAAAUCCCUACACAAGGUAUCAUAAAUAUGUUUUUACUUGUGAACUUGUUUUGAUAGCCUUUCAUCAAUGUUCUCCAGGUUUGUUGUCAAGGAAGCGAGUUUGUGUUUAUACAGGAUGUACCGUCCCCACCUACCGUCAACCAAUCAUGUCAAUGCGGAGCUAUAUGGCGCUAUGCGGAGCCCUCCGUAUUGUUACACAAUUUGGGAGGCGCACCUCAUCCCCAUAUGGAGCUUACUUUGGCCUCCACAAGCCUCCAGAGGCUCUGCAAUUGCAUCACACCCUCGGUAAUGAGCUUCCGGACAUCAUUUCCAGAACAAGCAUAAAUUGGCUUUAAUGGUGAGAGGUUAGCCUGUCUUGGGGGUAUGAUAUUUGCGUGUCUAACUUUCUCACUCAUCAUUAUUCACGAUUCAUUUAGGACUAUCUGUAAUUAUGGUAGCAUCCACAUUAAGUGUUUUAAUAAACGUUCUAUUCUUAUUUACAAUAAAAGUGACUCCAACAACACAUUUUUUUACCAUUCAUUUCUAUUGGGCACAAAAUAAUAUGAAACCCAACCAAAACAGCAAAUGCAUCCAACGAGUUUGUAGUCACAAGCUUGAUGUAAUUAUUGUGUGCUAGGAAUAUGGGACCUGUCAGGUUCUAAUUCUCAGAGUAAAAAAAAGUCACCGGACACUAUGAAAGAUUAACCAAGUUGAAUUCUUCCCAGGGGAUCAAUACAGCUGCAUUAGACAAAGACAUUUUCACACAAGCACUGAUAUUUAACCCUUUUUCCUAGGCUGAGUCUCCUCCUACACAUCUGAACAGCAAAUGCAUCUCUGUUGCUAGACAGAACUUUAGUGACAUCUGUUCUUCCUCACUUCAUCGGACCUGACCUCUAACUCCUGAUUCAAAUGCUAAUUUCUGCCAAAGGUAGAAUGCAUUUCAACAUCGGGUUUCCAGGCAAAUGUUGAAGCAACCCUCCUUUACAAAUCAAAUGAACACCAUACAGAUCCUUACCUAGAUGUCGCUGCAGGAAUGCUAGCA